UACGUAGGUGGCGAGCGUUAUCCGGAAUUAUUGGGCGUAAAGAGCGCGCAGGUGGUUGAUUAAGUCUGAUGUGAAAGCCCACGGCUUAACCGUGGAGGGUCAUUGGAAACUGGUCGACUUGAGUGCAGAAGAGGGAAGUGGAAUUCCAUGUGUAGCGGUGAAAUGCGUAGAGAUAUGGAGGAACACCAGUGGCGAAGGCGGCUUCCUGGUCUGUAACUGACACUGAGGCGCGAAGGCGUGGGGAGCAAACAGGAUUAGAUA
rnacentral:rRNA from 1 species